rnacentral:rRNA from 1 species
GAUGAACGCUGGCGGCGUGCUUAACACAUGCAAGUCGAACGAGAAAUGGAGACGGAAACCUUCGGGCGGAAGGCUUCAUUUCGAGUGGCGGACGGGUGAGUAACGCGUGGGUAACCUGCCUCAUACAGGGGGAUAACAGUUGGAAACGACUGUUAAUACCGCAUAAGACCACAGCACCGCAUGGUGCGGGGGUAAAAACUCCGGUGGUAUGAGAUGGACCCGCGUUCGAUUAGCCAGUUGGCGGGGUAACGGCCCACCAAAGCGACGAUCGAUAGCCGAGCUGAGAGGAUGACCGGCCACAUUGGGACUGAGACACGGCCCAAACUCCUACGGGAGGCAGCAGUGGGGAAUAUUGCAAAAUGGGGGAAACCCUGAUGCAGCGACGCCGCGUGAGUGAAGAAGUACUUCGGUAUGUAAAGCUCUAUCAGCAGGGAAGAAAAUGACGGUACCUGAGGAAGAAGCCCCGGCUAACUACGUG